ensembl:snRNA Gm24686 predicted gene, 24686
GUACUUGCUUUAGCAGCACAUAUACUAAAAGUAGAAUGAUACAAAGAAGAUUAGCAUGGCCUCUGUGAAAUUCAUGAAGGGUUCCAUAUUUUU